UGGGGAAUAUUGCGCAAUGGACGAAAGUCUGACGCAGCGACGCCGCGUGAGGGAUGAAGGUCUUCGGAUCGUAAACCUCUGUCAGGGGGGAAGAAGUGCAAGGGUUCUAAUCAGCCUUUGUUUGACGGUACCCCCAAAGGAAGCACCGGCUAACUCCGUGCCAGCAGCCGCGGUAAUACGGAGGGUGCAAGCGUUAAUCGGAAUUACUGGGCGUAAAGCGCACGUAGGCUGUUUUGUAAGUCAGGGGUGAAAUCCCACGGCUCAACCGUGGAACUGCCUUUGAUACUGCAAGACUAGAGUUCGGGAGAGGGUGGUGGAAUUCCAGGUGUAGGAGUGAAAUCCGUAGAGAUCUGGAGGAACAUCAGUGGCGAAGGCGACCACCUGGCCUGAUACUGACGCUGAGGUGCGAAAGCGUGGGGAGCAAACA
rnacentral:rRNA from 1 species